rnacentral:rRNA from 1 species
UACGUAGGGAGCAAGCGUUGUUCGGAUUUACUGGGCGUAAAGGGCGCGUAGGCGGCGCGUCAAGUCACUUGUGAAAUCUCCGGGCUUAACUCGGAACGGUCAAGUGAAACUGUCAUGCUAGAGUGCAGAAGGGGCAAUCGGAAUUCUUGGUGUAGCGGUGAAAUGCGUAGAUAUCAAGAGGAACACCUGAGGUGAAGACGGGUUGCUGGGCUGACACUGACGCUGAGGCGCGAAAGCCAGGGGAGCAAACGGG